CCCUUAGAUGUUCUGGGCCGCACACGCGCUACACUGAAGGAGGCAGCGUGUACUCCUGGAUCGAAAGAUUUGGGUAACCCGCGAAUCUCCUUCGUGCUAGGGAUUGAGGUUUGCAAUUAUCCUUCAUGAACGAGGAAUUCCCAGUAAGUGCAAGUCAUAAGCUUGCGCUGACUACGUCCCUGCCCUUUGUACACACCGCCCGUCGCUACUACCGAUUGAAUGAUUUAGUGAGGACUUCGGACUGGGACCGAUGCGGCUUUCGGGCUGCGUCGGUAUUCUGGAAGGAUGUCCAAACUGUAUCAUUUAGAGGAAGUAAAANUCGUANCA
rnacentral:rRNA from 1 species